UCCACUUCUCCGAACCUUCACACAAAACGAAAACCUCUGACACCAUUCUUCUCUUAAACCUUCACAACAAACCAAAAACCAUGAUCUUCUUUGAAACUGACACCUUCAAAUGAAAAAUGAAAAAUAGAUGAAACUAAUUUUCUCUGAAACCAAAAACCUUAAUCUUCAAACCAAAAACCCUUCGAUUCCAUGAUCCAUAAGCUAUGUAAUUGCACCAUUAUGUUCAUCAUGUGAAAAUAUUUCGUAGUCACGAACUCCUUAAUUGGAAAAUUUCUCUCUGAAAAUGUAGUUUGAUUUGUUAAAUUGUGACCUUUGUAUUUUUCUGGUUUGGUGUAAUUAGAAGUAAUGAUGUGUUGGUAUGUUUCUGAGUAAUUAAUUGUUGUGUUGAUUUAAUUAGAUGUAGGUUCUGUUUAUGCUAGACUAGUAUUGUUGAUUUAAUUAGAUGUAGGUUCUGUUUAUGCUAGACUAGUAUUGUUGAAUUCUUGUUAAUCUGAAUUCUAAACCUGGAUUAAAGAAACUUUGAAAUUGAAAAUAUGAAUUCUUGUCAAUUAUUUAUGAAUGAGUAGCUGGUUUUAG
rnacentral:lncRNA from 1 species